rnacentral:lncRNA from 1 species
GGGGGUGGGCACCAGGGUCCCGUGCUUCUAACAGGCUCCCAGGUGACACGAUGCAGCUGGUCCUGGGAACACACUUGGCGCCCAAGGUUUUAGAUGGAGACUUCCUCCCUCCUCAGAUCACCACCACUGUCUUCGUUCUCUAUUGUUGCCAUGACAAAUUACCAUAGACUCCGUGGCCCAGCAGACAGUGCUGCAGCUUCUAGAAGUGCCCGCAUUCCUUGGCUCACGGCCCCUCCUCCAUGUUGAAAGCUGGCAACGUGGCCUCUCUCUGCCUUUCCUCCAUGGUCACAUCUCCCCCUGACCACCGCCGGGAAAGCCCUCCACUUUUCAGGACCCAGGUUCCGGGUUUAGGAUGCGGACAUCUUCCUGCCUCUCUGCCGGCCCCUCUCCCAGCUGAGGACAGCGCUUUACCAGCAGGAGCAGAGCAGUCCCACCACCACCACUGCGUCCCUGGGCUCUGUGCUCUGUGUUCUGCACUGGUCUCACCUGAGACCCCGGCACAUGCAGACGCCUCACUGAGCUGGUUCUUUUACUCGUCCAAAAGGAUCGUUUACGUGCUGCUCCCAGACAAGAUGAAACAGUCUGCUCUCAGCGGCCGGGCAGAGAAAAGGCUCCCACCCAUACCCGCUCCCAUGACCCACAUCCUGGCCCACCCCCUCCUAUGAUCCCACACACGUCCAGACCAGGAGGUUCCAUACUGAGCCAUCUCCUGCCCCUUUGUCGCACACCUCGGUCAUUUCCUCUGGUCUGUCUUUCUAUUUACAGAUGUUUCCAUAGACAUGAAGAUAUAAUUGUGCUCAUGCCGCUUCCCAGCCACUCUCCAGAAGAAAGCGUCCGCGUGGCGGGAGGGCAAACACUUCACAGAAGAGGGGCCCUUUAUCUCAGCACCUACAUUUAAUUUCUAAAAUCAUUUUAUGAAGGCAAGAGAUUGAGAUUCACUUUUCAAAAUAUAUUUGCUUGCAACCUAGAAACAAGCAAAAAUAAAGACUCUGGAAAUCGUCGUGUGAGGGAAGGGAGAGUUUUGAGCCAAAGACAAUGCUCUGACUUUAUUUUUCUUCUUUGUGCAGCCUCCGUGUGGAUUAGCCUGGACAGGGCAG